rnacentral:misc_RNA from 1 species
UGUUCUCUCGCGUCCUCGUCGCAGCUCUUGUUGCUCUCCCGGUUCUCGUUUCCGUGAGUUGACUACCCUCAUUGACUGAAAUCAUUUACUCACCCUCUUUCGUAGGCAAGUCCCACUCUGGGGGAUACCCUGACUCCACCACCGUGGUUAGUCAAUGCAACGUCGGUGAACUCCACUGCUGUAAGUCUAUUCCAUGACAUCUAUGUACUCCAUAUCCUCAGUGACUUCUUCCAGGCAACACUCAGCAAACCCCCGACCACACCAACGCCGCCGGCGGUCUGCUUGGUGCUGCCGCCAACGUCGGCGCCCUCCUCGGUUUCGACUGUACCCCCAUUUCCGUCAUUGGCAUCGGUGGCAACAACUGUGCUGCUCAGCCCGUCUGCUGUGAAGCCAACGAAUUCGUAAGUUAGAGCUUCUGGUCUUUGACUUAAAAUCUAAUACUAUUCUCUCUCUCUCUCCCUUCAGACCGGGUUGAUUAAUGCUCUUAGCUGCUCUCCCAUCAAUGUCAACCUU